UUGGCGAACGGGUGAGUAACGCGUGAAUAACCUGACUCAAAGAGGGGGAUAACAACGGGAAACUGUUGCUAAUACCGCAUGAGACCACAACACCGCAUGAUGAAGGGGUCAAAGAUUUAUCGCUUUGAGAGGGGUUCGCGUCCCAUUAGGUAGUUGGAGGGGUAACGGCCCACCAAGCCAACGAUGGGUAGCCGAGCUGAGAGGCUGAUCGGCCACACUGGAACUGAGACACGGUCCAG
rnacentral:rRNA from 1 species